CGAACGCUGGCGGCGUGCUUCACACAUGCAAGUCGAACGGAAAGGCCCCUUUGGGGGUACUCGAGUGGCGAACGGGUGAGUAACACGUGAGUAACCUGCCCUUGACUUCGGGAUAACUUCAGGAAACUGGGGCUAAUACCGGAUAGGAAUCCUUGCUGCAUGGUGGGGGUUGGAAAGCUUCGGCGGUUUUGGAUGGACUCGCGGCUUAUCAGCUUGUUGGUGGGGUAGUGGCUUACCAAGGCUUUGACGGGUAGCCGGCCUGAGAGGGCGACCGGCCACAUUGGGACUGAGAUACGGCCCAGACUCCUACGGGAGGCAGCAGUGGGGAAUAUUGCACAAUGGGCGGAAGCCUGAUGCAGCAACGCCGCGUGCGGGAUGACGGCCUUCGGGUUGUAAACCGCUUUCAGCAGGGGCGAAGCUUGUGGUGACGGUACCUGCAGAAGAAGCACCGGCUAACUAGGUG
rnacentral:rRNA from 1 species